rnacentral:rRNA from 3 species
CAGUGGCGAACGGGUGAGUAACACGUGGGCAAUCUGCCCUGCACUCUGGGACAAGCCCUGGAAACGGGGUCUAAUACCGGAUAUUACCUUCCUCUGCAUGGGGGUUGGUGGAAAGCUCCGGCGGUGCAGGAUGAGCCCGCGGCCUAUCAGCUUGUUGGUGGGGUAAUGGCCUACCAAGGCGACGACGGGUAGCCGGCCUGAGAGGGCGACCGGCCACACUGGGACUGAGACACGGCCCAGACUCCUACGGGAGGCAGCAGUGGGGAAUAUUGCACAAUGGGCGAAAGCCUGAUGCAGCGACGCCGCGUGAGGGAUGACGGCCUUCGGGUUGUAAACCUCUUUCAGCAGGGAAGAAGCGCAAGUGACGGUACCUGCAGAAGAAGCACCGGCUAACUACGUGCCAGCAGCCGCGGUAAUACGUAGGGUGCGAGCGUUGUCCGGAAUUAUUGGGCGUAAAGAGCUCGUAGGCGGCCUGUUGCGUCGGUUGUGAAAGCCCGGGGCUUAACCCCGGGUCUGCAGUCGAUACGGGCAGGCUAGAGUUCGGUAGGGGAGAUCGGAAUUCCU